rnacentral:rRNA from 1 species
GGACUACAGGGGUAUCUAAUCCUGUUUGCUCCCCACGCUUUCGCGUCUCAGCGUCAGUCACGUCCCAGCGAGCUGCCUUCGCCAUUGGUGUUCCUCCUGAUAUCUGCGCAUUUCACCGCUACACCAGGAAUUCCACUCGCCUCUUCCGGACUCGAGCUUGACAGUAUCCACCCGCCUCCCGGGGUUGAGCCCCGGGCUUUCAGAGCGGACUUACCAAGCCGCCUACACGCGCUUUACGCCCAAUGAUUCCGGACAACGCUUGCCCCCUACGUAUUACCGCGGCUGCUGGCAC